AGGAGCUGUCCCUAGUACGAGAGGACCGGGAUGGACAAACCGCUGGUGUAUCAGUUGUUCCGCCAGGAGCAUAGCUGAGUAGCUAAGUUUGGAAGUGAUAAGCGCUGAAGGCAUCUAAGCGCGAAGCAUCCCUUAAGAUAAGAUUUCCCAUCCUUUAUGGAGUAAGACCCCAGGAAGACCACCUGGUUGAUAGGUCGCAGGUGUAAGCGCAGUAAUGUGUUCAGCUGAGCGAUACUAAUAGGUCGAGGUCUUGACCAG
rfam:Dethiosulfatibacter aminovorans DSM 17477 genome assembly, contig: EJ55DRAFT_scaffold00004.4